CCCCGCACGUCGCCCUCCCAGCGCCUGCUCUCGACCCAUCACCACCACCACCACCUCGGGUACUCGCUGCUGCCAGCACAGUACAACCUGCCCUAUGCAACAGGUCUCUCCUCCACAGCCAUCGUUGCCAGCCAGCAAGGCUCCGCUCCCUCCCUAUACCCACCUCCCCGGAGGUGAGAACGGAUGUGACCCACCAGGAUGCCUGGGCUAUACGAGACGUGUGACUGGCUCACAUGGAGAAGUGCUGGAGACUCCUUUAGACAUCAGUUGAAUGGUGUUAAUUGUACUGCUUGACGUUCCUGCCGUGGUCCGAGGUGGACUCUGUCUUCUCCCCUCGUCGGACACACACUGACUCCCCACCCCACCCCUCUUUGGCGAGUGGGUGAGCUGGUACCUGCGGAUGUAUUUAUUCUACUGAGCACCAGCACUCAGGGUGGAGGCGACACACCUGCCUGGUGCAUAUGAAGAGGAAACAGAAGCACUGAGGUUUCUCGAUGAAUUUGGGACCCUGCCGUGUCUCUGUGAGCUGCUGCUUCACGAACAGACUGGGGGCAGGCAGGGACUUGGAACGUGGGACCGAG
rnacentral:lncRNA from 1 species